AAAUGAAGGAAAAGAAAUUGGAGAUUUUGAGGACCGCCUUCUAUAUUUUAUUUGUGGCAACCAUAGCAUCUUCAAAACCAGUCAGUCUACAUGGAUUCCAAUUCAGAAGCAUGAUGGCUGACAGCCUGGAAUCGUCUGAGUCCUCGGAGUCCAGCAAGUCUUCCUCAGAGAAUGGUCAGCCAAUGGUCGCUGGCACUAAGAUCGCAAUACCAGACACUCAGGAGGAGACAGACCCACCAGACAGUGAAGCUAUAGCCUCUGAAACAGCCUCAGAAGUUGAUGAUGCUUUAAUUGCUUCACAAACCACACUUCAAACGGAUGCCUCAUCAGCAGUGGCACUAAAUGGGACAGACACUGAGGCUACCUCACAGCAUCCAGUCAUCGUCGCAUUGACUGAUUCUCCCAGUCUGACUUCUGAUAAUGUCACAACCCAUAUACGGUCUAUGGUCACAACGGCUCUGCCAUCAAUCACUGACACAGCCACAAUUCAAACAUUCUAUGUGGGCACAACUUCUCCCCCGGGCCCAUACCACAUACCCAUUAUGGAGCAGCCAACACCUCCACCAGUCUCCCCAAUACCAAGCCUAACUCCCCAGCAGCUAGUUCCAUUGAGUACCACUGAUGACAUAGCUGGUGUGCCAGGUUGUUUUACUGUAGUAUACAUAACCAGCCCUCAUGCUCAGCCAGUUCCUGUUAGAGGUGAUAACAUUUAAAGCAGAGAGGAAAUUAUUAUAUCAUUGAUUAAAGUCAGACAUAAAAGCUGGCUUCUUUUUUUCAUUUGUCUUUAUGAACAUAUGAGCACAUUGCAGCCACAUAGUGAGCUGGAGGGGCGCCUGUGCUGCAACUGGCUGAAGCGCUCAUGAAAAUGAUUCACUAUAAUAUUUUGCACUAUAUAAGUGAUAAAUAUGUAGAUAUACUGUACUUUAUAUUGCUCAGUGUCUUCCAUGAGUCAGUCUCACAUGUAUUUGCAUUUUUUCCCAUCUUUUAUCUUUUGUGUGAUUUAUUUUGAAAGUCGACACAGAUUGCAUUAACACUGUCAACAACAUUUUAGUCUAUUUGUAAAAGAGGACCCACCAUCUGUAAAUAAAUGCUCUUUAAACAUUUAGAAAAAGGACGGAAGUCAGAAAGAGUACCUUUUCGUGUGCUGCAGGAUAUUUUGGGGCUUUUGAUUAUACUGCAAAACUUAUUACAGGUGAUUUGCAGAUAAUGCCAGCUGUUGGGCAUUCUUUGUGACUCCCAUUGUGUCCUCAGUUAUCAUUGAAUGAAUGAAUGAUGAUACAUUCCUGUUUUAAUUUUGUACUGUAAAGCUUGUCUUGUAUACAAUUGAAUGUCUGACCCAGAAAGACAGAGACCCUGGAGCAGAUGGUGUUUAACUUCUGGUAUGAAUGCAAUGCAGUGAGUGAACAAGUGGGUGUUGUUGUUUUUUUCCGUAUUACAGAGACACUGUUGUUGAGAGAUACCAAAGCUCAUGGCAUGAAGUAUGUUUGCCACCGCACAACACACAUUGAACAUUUACAUGUGACACACAGACACAGAAAAAUAUUUUUCAAAUAGCUUCACUACUUGGACCCCAAAUAAACAUUUAAAAGUUUUACUUUUUCAUAUUCCUACAUGGAACGUAUAGGAACCAUAGACCAAGCUGGACCCUUAAUGGUCAGCCUACCAUACAAAAGGCAGCUGAAGGUAGCUAAAUGCAUCUGCUACGUUGUAUAGAUUAUAACCUGCAACCAGGUUAGCCCCCUGUUGUCCUGAGAUGAUAACAGUCUGUAAUCUGAUGCAUUGCGAAUGUUAAGCUCUUGAGCCGCUUAAAACCACUUGUGGUGUAAAAUUCAUACUCAUCUGAUAAUGUGGACAGAACACCAUACUAACAUUAAUAGCCUGGUCAGAAAUUACCUCUAUUUUGUAGCACUUAUUAGGCACUGUUUUUCAAAACUCCCAACUGAAAUAAGUAAGUUGUUGUUGUCCUCAUUGGGAAUUGUAUUCAUUAACAUUUAUAAAAUGUUGAUAGACUUUUCAAAGCCUCUUAUUCAAGUACCUGUGAAGAUGUAUGAUAUUCAUAAUUUUAAUCUACUGUACAUAGAUUAAACACUCUUUACAAUCCAUUUAGAGGUCCUAUUGAAAUCCACGUAAUGAUACUGCUUGUGACUGAGUACUACACCCUAAUAAGUCUUGAUUUGUGUCUAAUUACUAUAAUGACCAGGUCUGUCUAGUCAACAACAAACACUAUUUCUGCAUGUUCUUCACUUAAAUACAAAAACAUUGUAGUGAAAAUAAAAUAAACAAAUGCUUGUUCCUAGGGAUGAGGUCAAUUAUAGUUUGUCAGAACACUUUUAAUCACAUUUCAAUUUAGAUUGACCCGUCCCCGACCCUCGGUGCACUAGUUCAUAUAAACAUGUUUUUUUGUGAAACACUAAAAUAGUUCUCCUGAGCCUGGCAGCUCUAUUCAAACAUCAAGGCUAUAACAAGUUCAGCUUAAGUCCUUAAUUGCUUUAACCAAUAGACUGGUAUGGGAACAGAGGAGAAAAAAGGAAAUACAUUAUAUUGAAACUGGCCCAGUACAAGUGUUUGACUGGAUCUGUGUGUAGACCUUUUAAUCAGCAAGUCAAUAAUCUCAUAUCCUAUAAGAGGAUUCCUUUUCCAAGCCAAGUUAUGUCAGACAAUAAAAUGGCUGUUGAGUUCUUUUAUAGAAUGAAUAUCUUCUCUACGAUCACCAUCACUAUAUUCUUGUCAGUGUUAUUGUAUAUAAUUGUUCUCCAUGUGUAGUUGUAACAUAAUUCAUGUAAUUGAAUAUAUUGUCAAAGUGAGCUUGUGGCCUUGAUUCUAAUAGGCUAAGAGAGACCACAGACACCUGUUGUCCACUCUGACAGGAAGCAUGUUAACGUCUUAAAGUCCUUAUCCUCUUUAAACACCCCCACACCCUCUUUGUUCUCCUGCAGCACAGAGGUCUCUGUGUCAUUACAAUCUGGCAAUAAACAAUUAACAAUAACAUUCAGACUAUUUUCUGGAAUUAUGUGAAAACCAAAAUUAAUGUAUUGUAUCGCAAGAGAAUACAAAAAUCCCCUCGUUGGAGAUUCAUUAAUUCAAAUUCUUAAUUUGAAUAAGCCUAAGGAAACUAUCACCUAAUCUUUACAUUCUUAAGAGACAAUGGAUUAGCCUACACCUAGAUUACUCAAUUGGAGCAGUGCUUGGCCAGCGUUCAUGAACGCAUGUGCUCAGCAGUAUCAGUAAUAUGUAAUACAUACAGUGGGGAGAACAAGUAUUUGAUACACUGCCGAUUUUCCUAUUAACAAAGCAUGUAUAGGUCUGUAAUUUUUUAUCAUAGGUACACUUCAACUGUGAGAGACGGAAUCUAAAACCAGAAUCCAGAAAAUCAAAUUGUAUGAUUUUUAAGUAAUUAAUUUGCAUACGAGAUCAUACGUUUCCUGUAGUUCUGGACCAGGUUUGCACACACUGCAGCAGGGACUUUGGCACACUCCUCUAUUCAGACCUUCUCCAAAACCUUCAGGUUUCGGGGCUGUCGCUGGACAAUACAGACUUUCAGCUCCCUCCAAAGAUUUUCUAUUGGGUUCAGGUCUGGAGACUGGCUAGGCCACUCCAGGACCUUGAGAUGCUUAUUACGGAGCCACUCCUUAGUUGCCCUGGCUGUGUGUUUCGGGUCGUUGUCAUGCUGGAAGACCCAGCUACAACCUAUCUUCAAUGCUCUUACUGAGGGAAGGAGGUUGUUGGCAAAGAUCUCGCGAUACAUGGCCCCAUCAUCCUCCCCUCAAUACGGUGCAGUCGUCCUGUCCCCUUUGCAGAAAAGCAUCCCCAAAGAAUGAUGUUUCCACCUCCGUGCUUCACGGUUGGGAUGGUGUUCUUGGGGUUGUACUCAUCCUUCUUCUUCCUCCAAACACGGCGAAUGGAGUUUAGACCAAAAAGCUCUAUUUUUGUCUCAUCAGACCACAUGACCUUCUCCCAUUCCUCCUCUGGAUCAUCCAGAUGGUCAUUGGCAAACUUCAGACGGGCCUGGACAUGCGCUGGCUUGAGCAGGGGGACCUUGCGUGCGCUGCAGGAUUUUAAUCCAUGACAGCGUAGUGUGUUCCUAAUGGUUUUCUUUGAGACUGUGGUCCCAGCUCACUUCAGGUCAUUGAUCAGGUCCUGCCGUGUAGUUCUGGGCUGAUCCCUCACCUUCCUCAUGAUCAUUGAUGCCCCACGAGGUGAGAUCUUGCAUGGAGCCCCAGACCGAGGGUGAUUGACCGUCAUCUUGAACUUCUUCCAUUUUCUAAUAAAUACGCCAACAGUUGUUGCCUUCUCACCAAGCUGCUUGCCUAUUGUCCUGUAGCCCAUCCCAGCCGUGUGCAGGUCUACAAUUUUAUCGCUGAUGUACUUACACAGCUCUCUGGUAUUGGCCAUUGUGGAGAGGUUGGAGUCUGUUUGAUUGAGUGUGUGGACAGGUGUCUUUUAUACAGGUAACGAGUUCAAACAGGUGCAGUUCACACAGGUAAUGAGUGGAGAACAGGAGGGCUUCUUAAAGAAAAACUAACAGGUCUGUGAGAGACAGAAUUUUUGCUGGUUGGUAGGUGAUCAAAUACUUAUGUCAUGCAAUAAAAUGCAAAUUAAUUACUUAAAAAUCAUACAAUGUGAUUUUCUGGAUUUUUGUUUUAGAUUCCGUCUCAACUCUCACAGUUGAAGUGUACCUAUGAUAAAAAAAUUACAGACCUGUACAUGCUUUGUAAGUAGGAAAACCUGUGAAAUCGCCAGCGUAUCAACAUUUUUUUUCUCCCCACUGGCCACUUUAAACUAUGCCACUUUGUUUACAUACCCUACAUUACUCAUCUCAUAUGUAUAUACUGUAUUCGAUACCAUCUACUGCAUCUUGUCUAUGCCGUUCUGUACCAUCACUCAUUCAUAUAUCUUUAUGUACAUAUUCUUUAUCCCUUUACACUUGUGUGUAUAAGGUAGUAGUUUUGGAAUUGUUAGGUUAGAUUACUUGUUGUUUAUUACUGCAUUGUCGGAACUAGAAGCACAAGCAUUUCUCUACACUCGCAUUAACAUCUGCUAAACAUGUGUGUGACAAAUAAAAUGUGAUUUGAUUUGAUCAGUCGACAAGGAUGAGGUUGAGGUAACAGCAGUCCUUACUCUGCCCAAAACAACACUACAGCAAACCUUUGAUGAAUUCAUGAAGGGGAGAGUUCAUGUAUCAGUUUGUCUUCAUAUACUCAGUUUGAUGACACAUACCGUAUACAGACUUGUUUACAGACUCUAAGGAAGUGAGUUGAUGAAGUGUGUUCCCUGACAGACAUAUUUGUAUUUAUUAGGGAUCCCCACUCUUCCUGGGGUCCAAACACAUUAAAGCACUUACAUUACACACAGGGCCAGAGGAGCUUGGGAGUGGAUAAUGGUAUGCAAAUAUUCUGUAAGCACAUGGAUCCUCUGUCAGCAUCAUUGAUGGGGCCGAGGCACGCAAUGCAUCCUGCUAACAUCCUCUGCAUGUGCUUAAUCAGAGGGGGGUAUUAAAGUAGAACAGUAAUGCUCACAGAUUUCAAUCUGCCGUCUGCUGUAU
rnacentral:lncRNA from 1 species